rnacentral:ribozyme from 1 species
GGGCUGGAUCCGACGCCUUUUAGAGGCUACUAUAGGCUCUCCUUCUCAACUCCUACUCAAUACGUCCACGN